CCUCACCAUCAUCUCUCCAACUAACAAAACCUAACUCUUCUUCUUUAGCAAGAGCGCAAGCUCAAAAGCGCUAUUGUUACUUUCUUCAUCUUCCUCUUUACCUUCGUAGUAAUUUAGAGCACUUCUUCUAACAACUUACACAAAAUGGCUAAACUAGCAAUUCUCUUUACAACAUUUCUCCUUUUAAGCCUCGCCGACGCCAAGAUCCCCGGCGUCUACUCUGGAGGCGCGUGGGAAACUGCACACGCCACUAAAGAGGUUUAUGACCAAAAAAGGUUAAGAAACAAUGUGUUUACUAUUAAGCUUAGCAAAAUAUGCUCGUGAUUGAUGCUGCAACUUGAUUUUUAAGCAUACCAAAUCCUUUUUUUUUUCUUGUCCCAAUUCGUAAUGAAAACCUCGCUUUUUGUAUAACCAAUAAAUGAAUAAAACUAACAUUCACUGAGUGAUGUUUUUAUAACCAUGGAUAAAUGAAUAAAACUAACAUCCAUCGACCAAGGGAAGACUAAAAGAAUUAACUCGAUGGUUUAAGCAUAACAAAAUAUUUCCAUCGAGUUAAUUCUUUUAGUCUUUGCAUUAUUCUUUUUUGUCAACUAUAGUCUUGCAUUUAGAUUGAUAAAAAUGAUAAACAGCCAAAGACUAACGUCAGUUUCUUUGAACUAGAUUUAUCCAUGCAGGUAAAAUAAACAAGUGAAAAACGAUAAGAGUCAAAAGACAAAAAAGGCUUUAUGUCUUUUGUAUUUGGUCAGAGAAACAAACACUAAAAUACAUUUGUAUAAAUACAAAGACUCUCAUCAUAAGUAUGAAACGCCUCGCACAAGUAAACUCGAUAUUUUAAAGCUGUGGAACUCUUUUUAGAUCCAAGGAAAACAAUCAGAUAAAAUAUUUUGAGUAUCAAUGUUAUCGUAAGUGAAAAAAAUAGAUUUUAAUAUAUUUAAAACAUGACAAAACCGUUACAAACCUACCUCCACCUUACGUAGAAAUAGCAAUAAAUUUUUUUUUUUCAAACUCAACUUUGACAAAAGAAAUCAAAAUAAAGAAAAUAAUAUUUCUCAAUGUCUCUCUAACUCUUAGAGUUUCCUUCCCUCCAUAAAUACCGAACCUCACUCCUUCUUCCUCACCAUCAUCUCUCCAACUAACAAAACCUAACUCUUCUUCUUUAGCAAGAGCGCAAGCUCAAAAGCGCUAUUGUUACUUUCUUCAUCUUCUUCUUUACCUUCGUAGUAAUUUAGAGCACUUCUUCUAACAACUUACACAAAAUGGCUAAACUAGCAAUUCUCUUUACAACAUUUCUCCUUUUAAGCCUCGCCGACGCCAAGAUCCCCGGCGUCUACUCUGGAGGCGCGUGGGAAACUGCACACGCC
rnacentral:lncRNA from 1 species